ensembl:lncRNA
CCUGCUCCUGGCCUGUAAGCUGUUUGUGACUUCAUGGCAGGGUCAUGACCCCAAUGCUGUCAUCUCUCAGAAGUAUUUCCAUGUUUGGAAUUUCUUCUGAAUCUUUUCCUAAGUCUUCUUUUUUUUUUUUUUUUUUUUUUGGAAUAUUGUCAACAGUGGACAAUUUUCACACUUUAUUUCUGGAAGGAGAAUAAAAAAAGACAACGACUAUUCAGAGCCAAGUGUGGUGAGGAGGGUGAAUAAUCGAGCUGUGGAAUGCUACUCUGGUUAAAAUAGGUGCCAUCCGCAAAGAAAUAGAUGGAUUUUUAUUCGGCUCAUAAACUGACUCUGAAAGCAAUUCCCAGAGAAGAUACUCGACCUGAGAUCAGAACUCUGGGAGCAGCUUCAGCGUUACCUGAGUCAGCCCUUCCCAAACUCUCCCUCUUGUGGGUUCCUCAGAGACCAUCCUGAGAAGUGGGUGAUGAUGGGAUGAGAGGAUGGAGACAGAGGCUGGUUGGAAUAUGCUUAAAAAUGUUACAUCACCUGACUCAAUGAGGUGUUAACAGCUAAAAAACAUACAACAGCUAAUAACUGAGUAUCUGCGACAUCUGAGUGAGACCACGUGGAGGAUACACGCUUCGGCUGCUACUUCUCCAGAUCUCUUGCUCCAUCUCUUCUACCCUCUCCCUCCCUGCUCCCAACCAAUUCUUUAAACCAUAUCCAAGCCACAUGAAAGAAUCGAUUCCACCAGGCUUCACUUCCUUCCUUCAACACCUCCACUAAGUCACAAUCGGAAACUAAAGAACCCCAGAUUCCUCUUCUGUAUCCUAGGCCACAUUCCAGUUUCGACUCGUAUGUGGAGGCUACUUAGGCAUUUUGAUUUCUUCAGAUCAUUUUCUGACCCAGCUUCAUUGGAAAUGACUUCGAGGUAAAACCUGGGACUGACCCUUUCACCCCGUGUGACGAAGCCCUUCAGGAGUCGAAGGGAGAGUCUCCCCAGCAGUUUGUGGCAAAAAGCACAUAAUAGCUAUCAACGUUUGAGGAAACCGGAAGAUCUGAGACAUCACAAGCAUUUGAAUUUCAAUUUCUCCAUCUCCGGACUUAUGAUGCAAUAAAAUAAAGCCUCCCACUGUAGUCCAGUCCACAGCAAAGUCAAGCCCCAAAUGGCUGAAUGAAGAUCUGAAAGGCUUGGAAAAAAAUAAAUGAACUGCCUGCUUUUCAUUAUGCUUCCCUCUCAGGAUGGAGAUACAUCUGGUUUUCUGAUUACACUUUACCAUAGUAAAGAAAAUUCUAGCCUAGCAGGUCAAACCAGCUGAUGACUAGCCAGCUCCAAUUACUGACCUGACCUGCUUCUAACCUCAGAGGAGGAGGGAAGGAGAAAGCCCUUUUCUCUCAUUCUUAGAAACUGAAACAUGGGCAUAGAACGUUGUGGGGUUUGUUCCUUGAUUAAUUAAAGUUGCUUAUUCAAA